CACGGAAAAGUAUGCGACUCUGUGGCAACCAACUAACUGUUAUCCAAGAUGGCGCCCCUUCCAGUAGCAGUUUCGCCCCUGAUCAAGUUUUCAAGAUAUUCCGCAUUGCUUGUUGGAAUAGCAUAUGGCUCAAGAAGAAACAAGAGUCAUACAAAGAAUGAAGCUGAAUUACUGAGUUUGAAAGAACAACGAAAAGAAGCAGAGGCUAAGCGAGCAGCUGUAGCUAAGGAAUCUCCAGCGAGUGACUCAAUCUUUGCAUAGAGAUGACAAGAAUCUAACCUCAAGUAUUUCAAGAUGGACGGGUCCCAAUCAUGACUGCUUACCACCGGAGGGGCAAACUACACAAGCAGAAUCAACAGUUUGACAUCACAGUCAUUACUGCCUACCAACAGAGGGGCACAUUACACAAGGAGAGUCAUUAGCUUUACAUCACAUUCACUAUCGUCUCCUGACUGGACUACUUCUCUUAAUUUCAAAAGUAAUUUUCAGUAAUUUUCAUUUAUUAUUUGGGAAAGACACAUCUUGGAGUAUUCUUCAUUAUUGACUUCUGUUUGAUUGGGUUUAAUCAUCCAUCACAGAUGGUUUUCUUGCAUUGAUGGAUCUUUGUGUGUGCAAAUUGUUGUUAUUAUUAUUGUUUUAAUGGUUUACAAAUAGAGACAGUUAUUGUUGGAAAAGAGUGCAUGCCCAAUUGUUGAGUUAGCUUUGCAUGUUCACCAAAAAUGUUUUCUCAACUAACUUGUCCGAAAACCCCAAAAGUCAGAAAUAUAUUCGGUCAUCAAAUAGAGUCAUGUGGCUUGUCCAGCCAUUUGUUAGUCAUAAUAUGCUUUGAAAGUUUACAAUAAGCUAAUGUGAUGUGAAUAUCACCAGUAUAAUAAGAAAUUGAUUCUGAAAAGACAGUAAAAAUAUUAUAGAACAUGGAACUACACAACUGUAUGUGUGUAAUGCCUACUCAAAUAAUGACCUGAUGAAAUGACAUAAACUUAUUUCAUAAUGAGUAGCUUGAUGUUUGCAGUCAGUUUGAUGGUUUUCAUUCCGAUAACUGGUUCAUACCGAUAUACCGAACAUUCUAGAUUGAAUGUUCAAAGAAUCAAGCACACUCAACAUGCUGAUAACCUUAGUAACUGUUUUCCUCUAAUGGCAAACUAUUUGAUAACGAACCCGUAAUAGAGUUACUGCUUGAAGUUGCUGUGUUAAAAAUUAAUAGUUUUAUUUGGUUGAAAAUAGAAAAUAAAUUGACAACAUGAAUCA